GUGGGGAAUAUUGGACAAUGGGCGAAAGCCUGAUCCAGCCAUGCCGCGUGUGUGAAGAAGGUCUUCGGAUUGUAAAGCACUUUAAGUUGGGAGGAAGGGCAGUAAGUUAAUACCUUGCUGUUUUGACGUUACCGACAGAAUAAGCACCGGCUAACUUCGUGCCAGCAGCCGCGGUAAUACGAAGGGUGCAAGCGUUAAUCGGAAUUACUGGGCGUAAAGCGCGCGUAGGUGGUUUUGUAAGUUGGAGGUGAAAUCCCCGGGCUCAACCUGGGAACUGCCUCCAAAACUGCAUGACUAGAGUACGGUAGAGGGUAGUGGAAUUUCCUGUGUAGCGGUGAAAUGCGUAGAUAUAGGAAGGAACACCAGUGGCGAAGGCGACUACCUGGACUGAUACUGACACUGAGGUGCGAAAGCGUGGGGAGCAAACAGGAUUAGAAACCCCAGUAUCC
rnacentral:rRNA from 1 species